UUUUAUGGCGGCUGUGCGUGGGAGACCUUUUGGUCUGCCGGGUCUUCCUCCUCGGUCUGCGAACCCGCGCACAGCUACCACCCCA
rnacentral:antisense_RNA from 1 species